UCGAAUUUGCCGCCGGGUAAACGUCUUUGUGUCCAUUCCAUUAGGCCUUUGAAGGAAUGAGCGCGGGACGUUUUGUUGC
rnacentral:ncRNA from 1 species